CACGUAGGGCGCAAGCGUUGUCCGGAAUUACUGGGCGUAAAGCGUGCGCAGGCGGUUUGUUAAGUCCGCUGUGAAAUCCCCGAGCUCAACUUGGGAAUUGCAGUGGAUACUGGCAAGCUGGAGUAUGGUAGAGGAAGGUGGAAUUCCCGGUGUAGCAGUGAAAUGCGUAGAGAUCGGGAGGAACACCAGUGGCGAAGGCGACUACCUGGCCUGUUCUUGACGCUGAGGCGCGAAAGCUAGGGGAGCAAACGGG
rnacentral:rRNA from 1 species